AAAUGCCCUGCUUCCAGGAAAAGCCUCUAAGCAUCAGGUAACAUCAAAUCGUACCCCAAACCGACACAGGUGGUCAGGUAGAGAAUACCAAGGCGCUUGAGAGAACUCGGGUGAAGGAACUAGGCAAAAUGGUGCCGUAACUUCGGGAGAAGGCACGCUGAUAUGUAGGUGAAGCGACUUGCUCGUGGAGCUGAAAUCAGUCGAAGAUACCAGCUGGCUGCAACUGUUUAUUAAAAACACAGCACUGUGCAAACACGAAAGUGGACGUAUACGGUGUGACGCCUGCCCGGUGCCGGAAGGUUAAUUGAUGGGGUUAGCGGUAACGCGAAGCUCUUGAUCGAAGCCCCGGUAAACGGCGGCCGUAACUAUAACGGUCCUAAGGUAGCGAAAUUCCUUGUCGGGUAAGUUCCGACCUGCACGAAUGGCGUAAUGAUGGCCAGGCUGUCUCCACCCGAGACUCAGUGAAAUUGAACUCGCUGUGAAGAUGCAGUGUACCCGCGGCAAGACGGAAAGACCCCGUGAACCUUUACUAUAGCUUGACACUGAACAUUGAGCCUUGAUGUGUAGGAUAGGUGGGAGGCUUUGAAGUGUGGACGCCAGUCUGCAUGGAGCCGACCUUGAAAUACCACCCUUUAAUGUUUGAUGUUCUAACGUUGGCCCGUAAUCCGGGUUGCGGACAGUGUCUGGUGGGUAGUUUGACUGGGGCGGUCUCCUCCUAAAGAGUAACGGAGGAGCACGAAGGUUGGCUAAUCCUGGUCGGACAUCAGGAGGUUAGUGCAAUGGCAUAAGCCAGCUUGACUGCGAGCGUGACGGCGCGAGCAGGUGCGAAAGCAGGUCAUAGUGAUCCGGUGGUUCUGAAUGGAAGGGCCAUCGCUCAACGGAUAAAAGGUACUCCGGGGAUAACAGGCUGAUACCGCCCAAGAGUUCAUAUCGACGGCGGUGUUUGGCACCUCGAUGUCGGCUCAUCACAUCCUGGGGCUGAAGUAGGUCCCAAGGGUAUGGCUGUUCGCCAUUUAAAGUGGUACGCGAGCUGGGUUUAGAACGUCGUGAGACAGUUCGGUCCCUAUCUGCCGUGGGCGCUGGAGAACUGAGGGGGGCUGCUCCUAGUACGAGAGGACCGGAGUGGACGCAUCACUGGUGUUCGGGUUGUCAUGCCAAUGGCACUGCCCGGUAGCUAAAUGCGGAAGAGAUAAGUGCUGAAAGCAUCUAAGCACGAAACUUGCCCCGAGAUGAGUUCUCCCUGAGACUUAGAGUCUCCUGAAGGAACGUUGAAGACGACGACGUUGAUAGGCCGGGUGUGUAAGCGCAGCGAUGCGUUGAGCUAACCGGUACUAAUGAACCGUGAGGCUUAACCUU
rnacentral:rRNA from 1 species